UACGGGGGGGGCAAGCGUUGUUCGGAAUUACUGGGCGUAAAGGGCUCGUAGGCGGCCAACUAAGUCAGACGUGAAAUCCCCAGGCUCAACUUGGGAACUGCGUCUGAUACUGGAUGGCUUGAAUUCGGGAGAGGGAUGCGGAAUUCCAGGUGUAGCGGUGAAAUGCGUAGAUAUCUGGAGGAAUACCGGUGGCGAAGGCGGCAUCCUGGACCGGCAUUGACGCUGAUGAGCGAAAGCUAGGGGAGCAAACGGGG
rnacentral:rRNA from 1 species